AUUGAACGCUGGCGGCAUGCCUUACACAUGCAAGUCGAACGGCAGCGCGGGAGCAAUCCUGGCGGCGAGUGGCGAACGGGUGAGUAAUAUAUCGGAACGUGCCCAGUAGUGGGGGAUAGCCCGGCGAAAGCCGGAUUAAUACCGCAUGAGACCUGAGGGUGAAAGCGGGGGAUCGCAAGACCUCGCGCUAUUGGAGCGGCCGAUGUCGGAUUAGCUAGUUGGUAGGGUAAGGCCUACCAAGGCGACGAUCCGUAGCGGGUCUGAGAGGAUGAUCCGCCACACUGGGACUGAGACACGGCCCAGACUCCUACGGGAGGCAGCAGUGGGGAAUUUUGGACAAUGGGCGAAAGCCUGAUCCAGCCAUGCCGCGUGAGUGAAGAAGGCCCUCGGGUUGUAAAGCUCUUUUGUCCGGAAAGAAAGCAUUCGGUUAAUACCCGGGUGUUCUGACGGUACCGGAAGAAUAAGCACCGGCUAACUUCGUGCCAGCAGCCGCGGUAAU
rnacentral:rRNA from 1 species